AUUGAACGCUGGCGGCAUGCCUUACACAUGCAAGUCGAACGGUAACGGGCCUUCGGGUGCCGACGAGUGGCGAACGGGUGAGUAAUACAUCGGAACGUGCCCGAUCGUGGGGGAUAACGAGGCGAAAGCUUUGCUAAUACCGCAUACGAUCUACGGAUGAAAGCCGGGGACCGCAAGGCCUUGCGCGGACGGAGCGGCCGAUGGCAGAUUAGGUAGUUGGUGGGAUAAAAGCUUACCAAGCCGACGAUCUGUAGCUGGUCUGAGAGGAUGAUCAGCCACACUGGGACUGAGACACGGCCCAGACUCCUACGGGAGGCAGCAGUGGGGAAUUUUGGACAAUGGGCGCUAGCCUGAUCCAGCCAUGCCGCGUGCAGGAUGAAGGCCUUCGGGUUGUAAACUGCUUUUGUACGGAACGAAAAGCCUUCUUUUAAUACAGGAGGGUCAUGACGGUACCGUAAGAAUAAGCACCGGCUAACUACGUG
rnacentral:rRNA from 1 species